AUUGAACGCUGGCGGCAGGCCUAACACAUGCAAGUCGAACGGCAGCACAGAAGAGCUUGCUCUUUGGGUGGCGAGUGGCGGACGGGUGAGUAACACGUAGGAAUCUACCCAGUAGUGGGGGAUAACCUGGGGAAACCCAGGCUAAUACCGCAUACGCCCUGAGGGGGAAAGCGGGGGAUCUUCGGACCUCGCGCUAUUGGAUGAGCCUGCGUCGGAUUAGCUAGUUGGUGGGGUAAGGGCCCACCAAGGCGACGAUCCGUAGCUGGUCUGAGAGGAUGACCAGUCACACCGGAACUGAGACACGGUCCGGACUCCUACGGGAGGCAGCAGUGGGGGAAUAUUGGACAAUAGGGCGGCAAGACCUGAUCCAGCCAUG
rnacentral:rRNA from 1 species